UUGAACGCUGGCGGCAGGCCUAACACAUGCAAGUCGAGCGGAUGAAGGGAGCUUGCUCCUGGAUUCAGUGGCGGACGGGUGAGUAAUGCCUAGGAAUCUGCCUGGUAGUGGGGGAUAACGUCCGGAAACGGGCGCUAAUACCGCAUACGUCCUGAGGGAGAAAGUGGGGGAUCUUCGGACCUCACGCUAUCAGAUGAGCCUAGGUCGGAUUAGCUAGUUGGUGGGGUAAAGGCCUACCAAGGCGACGAUCCGUAACUGGUCUGAGAGGAUGAUCAGUCACACUGGAACUGAGACACGGUCCAGACUCCUACGGGAGGCAGCAGUGGGGAAUAUUGGACAAAGGGCGAAAGCCUGAUCCAGCCAUGCCGCGUGUGUGAAGAAGGUCUUCGGAUUGUAAAGCACUUUAAGUUGGGAGGAAGGGCAGUAAGUUAAUACCUUGCUGUUUUGACGUUACCAACAGAAUAAGCACUGGCUAACUUCGUG
rnacentral:rRNA from 1 species